rnacentral:rRNA from 1 species
AAUGUAUAGGAAUCUACCUAGUAGUACGGAAUAAUUGUUGGAAACGGCAACUAAUACCGUAUACGCCCUACGGGGGAAAGAUUUAUCGCUAUUAGAUGAGCCUAUAUUAGAUUAGCUAGUUGGUAAGGUAAUGGCUUACCAAGGCAAUGAUCUAUAGCUGAUCUGAGAGGAUGAUCAGCCACACUGGAACUGCGAUACGGUCCAGACUCCUACGGGAGGCAGCAGUGGGGAAUAUUGGANAAUGGGCGAAAGCCUGAUCCAGCCAUGCCGCAUGAGUGAAGAAGGCCUUUGGGUUGUAAAGCUCUUUCGGUGAGGAAGAUAAUGACGGUACUCACAGAAGAAGUCCUGGCUAACUCCGUGCCAGCAGCCGCGGUAAUACGGAGAGGGCUAGCGUUAUUCGGAAUUAUUGGGCGUAAAGAGCGCGUAGGCUGGUUAGUAAGUUAAAAGUGAAAUCCCAAAGCUCAACUUUGGAAUUGCUUUNAAAACUGCUAACCUANAGGUUGAAAGAGGAUAGAGGAAUUCCUAGUGUAGAGGUGAAAUUCGUAAAUAUU